rnacentral:rRNA from 1 species
AGAGUUUGAUCCUGGCUCAGGACGAACGCUGGCGGUGUGCCUCACACAUGCAAGUCGAACGGGGUAGCAAUACCCAGUGGCGGACGGGUGAGUAACGCGUGGGAAUCUGCCUUUAGAUGGGGGAUAGCAGAUCGAAAGGUCUAUUAAUACCGCAUGUGUAUACAUCUCGACAGGGAUGUAUAUGAAAGCAGUAAUGCGUC